rnacentral:tRNA from 1 species
GGGGCUGAGGCUCAGUGGUAGAGCGCUCGCCUAGCAUGUGUGAGGCCCUGGGUACGAUCCUCAGCACCACA